rnacentral:rRNA from 1 species
AACGAUACUAGCUUGCUAGUAGGCGUCGAGUGGCGGACGGGUGAGUAACGCGUAGGAAUCUGCCUGAUAGUGGGGGAUAGCCCGAAGAAAUUCGGAUUAAUACCGCAUAAUCUAUUCGUAGUAAAGUGGGGGACUUUCGAGCCUCACGCUAUCAGAUGAGCCUGCGUAAGAUUAGCUUGUUGGUAGGGUAAAAGCCUACCAAGGCGACGAUCUUUAGCUGGUCUGAGAGGAUGAUCAGCCACAUCGGGACUGAGACACGGCCCGAACUCCUACGGGAGGCAGCAGUGGGGAAUAUUGGACAAUGGGGGCAACCCUGAUCCAGCAAUACCGCGUGUGUGAAGAAGGCCUGAGGGUUGUAAAGCACUUUCAAUUGUGAAGAAAAGUUAGCGGUUAAUAACCGUUAGCCUUGACGUUAACUUUAGAAGAAGCACCGGCUAACUCCGUGCCAGCAGCCGCGGUAAUACGGAGGGUGCAAGCGUUAAUCGGAAUUACUGGGCGUAAAGCGUGCGUAGGCGGUUUAUUAAGUCAGAUGUGAAAGCCCAGGGCUUAACCUGGGAACUGCAUUUGAAACUGGUCAACUAGAGUAUGGUAGAGGAAAGUGGAAUUUCUGGUGUAGCGGUGAAAUGCGUAGAUAUCAGAAGGAACAUCAAUGGCGAAGGCAGCUUUCUGGACCAAUACUGACGCUGAGGUACGAAAGCGUGGGUAGCAAACAGGAUUAGAUACCCUGGUAGUCCACGCCGUAAACGAUGAUAACUAGCCGUUGGGGGGAUUUACCCUUUAGUGGCGAAGCUAACGCGUUAAGUUAUCCGCCUGGGGAGUACGGCCGCAAGGUUAAACUCAAAGGAAUUGACGGG